CCGAGGGUUUGUCAUCAGGUAUUGCCAUAUAUAGGGGCCCUGAGGCCCGGCGGAACAGUAUUCCAGACGCACAGAGAGAUGAAGCUACUAAAUAUCCUCUGCUUCUGCCUGGCUGUCCUCGCCUCCACUCGGGCUGAGGACGCAGCGGCCGUGUUGAGCCCUCGUGGAACCCGACCAGUAGAACACGGUUACAAGGCUGAUAAAUGUGCCACAGAGAGGAGUUGGCCUUUCUGCUCAGAUGACGACUGGGUACGUUUUCACUCGUAGGGAGACCGGAAACGUCUGAAUAUUAUAAAUACAUAUUUAGAAUCUUUGUUGUGGUUUUAUUUGACAUAGAUUGUAUAGUUGUAUCCUUUUCAGGUGAGGGGUGAGGGGUCACCGUUUCUCUCACCUGAAUAAGCUCACCGUUUCUCUCUGCUUAUAGGAAAACAUGUCAACAUGGAGAUGAUCAGUUACUCAAACUCCUAGAUUAAUAAAAGUUCAUAUUUGAUCAAGUUGAUUGAAAACACAGACAUUUUACAAUCCAUUUUGACUAGGGGAUGAUUUGACUAGGGGAUGAUUUGACUAGGGGAUGAUUUGACUAGGUGAUGAUUUGACUAGGGGAUGAUUUGACUAGGGGAUGAUUUGACUAGGGGAUGAUUUGACUAGGGGAUGAUUUGACUAGGGGAUGAUUUGACUAGGUGAUGAUUUGACUAGGUGAUGUUUUGACUAGGUGAUGUUUUGACUAGGUGAUGUUUUGACUAGGUGAUGUUUUGACUAGGUGAUGUUUUGACUAGGUGAUGUUUUGACUAGGUGAUGUUUUGACUAGGUGAUGUUUUGACUAGGUGAUGUUUUGACUAGGUGAUGAUUUGACAAGGCAUUAGUUAUGAUUAGGCAUUGAUUUGAUUCCAUUUUCCCCUGUCUCACUGUCUCCAUGUCCAUCUGUCUCCAUGUCUCACUGUCUCGGUCUUCCUGUCUCCAUGUCUCCAUGUCUCAGUAGUUUAUAUUCACUCUGGGGUGGAUUUGAGGACUCGGCUUAAACUGCGUCUGGGAAGCCGUCCGUCUAUGUCCUGUAACUCUCUUCUCUCCCCUCCUCUCACGUCCUCCUCCCCUUCUCUCCCCUCCUGCUCCUCUCCUCUCCCCUCCCUCCUCUUCUCUCUCCUCUCUCCUCCUCUCCC